GAGCCGGUCUCGCGCAAUGGAGCCCCGUGAACCAUGUCAGGCGGGGAACCGAGCAGCAUUAAGCGGGAUGUUCCAUGUGCCGCGAGGACGCCGGUUCCGU
rfam:Oscillibacter sp. 57_20 Ley3_66761_scaffold_416, whole genome shotgun sequence.